rnacentral:rRNA from 1 species
UAGGGAAUAUUGGUCAAUGGACGCAAGUCUGAACCAGCCAUGCCGCGUGCAGGAAGACGGCCCUCUGGGUUGUAAACUGCUUUUAUAUGGGAAGAAACCUUAGGAUGCGUUCUAAGCUGACGGUACCAUAUGAAUAAGGAUCGGCUAACUUCGUGCCAGCAGCCGCGGUAAGACGAAGGAUCCAAGCGUUGUCCGGAUUUACUGGGUUUAAAGGGUGCGUAGGCGGAAAAUUAAGUCAGUGGUGAAAGCCCGCAGCUCAACUGCGGAACUGCCAUUGAAACUGAUUUUCUUGAAUACGGUUGAGGUAGAUGGAAUAUAACAUGUAGCGGUGAAAUGCUUAGAUAUGUUAUAGAACACCAAUUGCGAAGGCAGUCUACUAAGCCGUGAUUGACGCUGAGGC